rnacentral:rRNA from 1 species
AGUAAUACAUCGGAACGUGUCUUCUAGUGGGGGAUAACUGCCCGAAAGGGCAGCUAAUACCGCAUGAGACCUGAGGGUGAAAGCGGGGGAUCGCAAGACCUCGCGCUGGAAGAGCGGCCGAUGUCCGAUUAGCUAGUUGGUGAAGUAAAGGCUCACCAAGGCGACGAUCGGUAGCUGGUCUGAGAGGACGACCAGCCACACUGGGACUGAGACACGGCCCAG